UGCGCAGGUGGGGGUGUAAGUCAGUGGUGAAAUGUUGCCGCUCAACGGUAAAAUUGCCAUUGAUACUGCAUCUCUUGAGUAUGGUUGAGGUAGGCGGAAUGUGUUGUGUAGCGGUGAAAUGCAUAGAUAUGACACAGAACACCGAUUGCGAAGGCCGCUUACUAAGCCAUUACUGACGCUGAGGCACGAAAGCGUGGGGAGCGAACAGGAUUAGAUACCCUGGUAGUCC
rnacentral:rRNA from 1 species